AAUCUAAAUUACCUCAAAGGCUAUCUCUACUUCUAAUGGAUGAGUUGGUUGAAUAGUAUCCAUGAUUUAUUUUUGUCUGGUUUAUUUUUAUCUCACAUCCCACCAUCAUAUCUCCUGACGUUGGUUUUUUACCCUCACAAUAAAAAAUUUCAUGACCUUUCAAAAUUUUCCUAACUAGACACGUUACAAACGGGCAGGAGCCGAUAGCACAUUACCAAUCAAUAAUAUUCAGUUUUAUGGCAAUCAGUUUCAAAUCCUAACUUUCCUAAUACAUCAACUUUGCCUUUUCUAAGAAGCAAUCUUUUUUAUUUCUUCUGAAAAUAAAGGAGGAGUAUGCGGCACGUUUCGUAGUUGUUUCGUUCGUCUUCGCCCUCGUUUCGUACGUCCCCUCCUCCACCUCGAUUUCUUUUCUGCCUCUUCAGCCUUCUCCCCGCAACCCUAUCUCUUAGGCCUCAUUUGGCGCGAGUGGGUUGAGGGGGUUUCGAGAGGAUUUUCCUCGCGUGGGCCAGAAACCCCGAGAAACCACGUUGGCCCAUUUGGUACAGGGGGUUUGUAUGCGCUAAUCCUCUCUAAUCCACGCCAAACCACGCGAAACCACGCGGCUCGAAACCCUCGUCGAGCGACUCAGGGAGUCGCUCGUCCCAUCGCACGCCGCCAGCGAGAGGAAGAGACGUCGCCGCCGCUACCACCGAGGGGAAGAGCCCCGCCGCCGCCACCGAGGGGAAGAGCCCCGCCGACGAGAGGAGGAGCCCCACGCCGCCGCCCGACUCUGCCCGACACCGGCGUUACUCCUCCAGCAUACUGGCCUUAUCCCCGGUGCCUGCCGCUUCGAUUAUUGUGGGGGUGGACGAAUUACCUCCGUCUUGGGAUUCAGUUGUCACGCCUAACUUCGGGACCUGAUCUCGCGGAAGACGGGUGACCACUUUGCUGCCACAAGUCUCCUUCACACCGUGUAGCCCGCAAAAAUGUCUCGGAGCAUUUGCCGAUCAUAUUUAUGUUGUAAUGAACCGUUAACUUUCGUUGAUUGAACAUCUUGUAUUUUUCAUUUGGACCGUGGCAUGUAUGCAUGUAACAUUUCAUUUGAACAGUUGAUAGUACAUGCAACAGAUUAUACAAGCCUUUUUGUUA